rnacentral:rRNA from 1 species
UCGAACGAAGCACCUGAGAAUGAUUCUUCGGAUCUAUUUCUCUUGUGACUGAGUGGCGGACGGGUGAGUAACGCGUGGGUAACCUGCCUCACACAGGGGGAUAACAGUUUGAAACGACCGCUAAUACCGCAUAACCCGCUGGUGCCGCAUGGCACUGACGGAAAAGAUUUAUCGGUGUGAGAUGGACCCGCGUCUGAUUAGCCAGUUGGCAGGGUAACGGCCUACCAAAGCGACGAUCAGUAGCCGGCCUGAGAGGGUGAACGGCCACAUUGGGACUGAGACACGGCCCAGACUCCUGCGGGAGGCAGCAGUGGGGAAUAUUGCACAAUGGGGGAAACCCUGAUGCAGCGACGCCGCGUGAGUGAAGAAGUAUUUCGGUAUGUAAAGCUCUAUUUGCAGGGAAGAAAAUGACGGUACCUGAUUAAGAAGCCCCGGCUAACUACGUGCCAGCAGCCGCGGUAAUACGUAGGGGGCAAGCGUUAUCCGGAUUUACUGGGUGUAAAGGGAGCGUAGACGGUGAUGCAAGUCAGAAGUGAAAGCCCGGGGCUCAACUCCGGGACUGCUUUUGAAACUGUGUGACUGGAGUGCAGGAGAGGUAAGCGGAAUUCCUGCUNUNCCCNUCNNNUGCGNGGUUCUUUUGGGAAACUCCUUUCCUUCNNGCCGCUUNCUNNCCUNUNCNNNCNNNNNNNCUCNNNNNCNNGGGGGCCCCUUAAAGUCGUUNCCNNNNNNNUCCNCNCNNNNNNGGAGCCUUUAUGGAAAAAGGGAGCAAAGCUCUUCGGUGCCGCAGCAAACGCAUUAAAUAUUCCACCUGGGGAGUACGUUCGCAAGAAUGAAACUCAAAGGAAUUGACGGGGACCCGCACAAGCGGUGGAGCAUGUGGUAAAAAAAAAAGCAACGCGAAGAACCUUACCAGGUCUUGACAUCCCUCUGACCGGGAUUUAAUAAUCCCUUUCCUUCGGGACAGAGGAGACAGGUGGUGCAUGGUUGUCGUCAGCUCGUGUCGUGAGAUGUUGGGUUAAGUCCCGCAACGAGCGCAACCCUUACCUUCAGUAGCCAGCGGUUCGGCCGGGCACUCUGGAGGGACUGCCAGGGACAACCUGGAGGAAGGUGGGGAUGACGUCAAAUCAUCAUGCCCCUUAUGAUCUGGGCUACACACGUGCUACAAUGGAGAAAACAAAGGGAAGCGAGACAGUGAUGGCAAGCAAAUCUCAGAAAUAACGUCUCAGUUCGGAUUGCAGUCUAAAGCUCGACUGCAUGAAGCUGGAAUCGCUAGUAAU